rnacentral:rRNA from 1 species
AANACACCAGUGGCGAAGGCGACUUUCUGGACGAAAACUGACGCUGAGGCGCGAAAGCCAGGGGAGCGAACGGGAUUAGAUACCCCGGUAGUCCUGGCCGUAAACGAUGGGUACUAGGUGUAGGAGGUAUCGACCCCUUCUGUGCCGGAGUUAACGCAAUAAGUACCCCGCCUGGGGAGUACGACCGCAAGGUUGAAACUCAAAGGAAUUGACGGGGGCCCGCACAAGCGGUGGAGUAUGUGGUUUAAUUCGACGCAACGCGAGGAACCUUACCGGGUCUUGACAUUGAUGGACAGAACCAGAGAUGGUUCCUCUUCUUCGGAAGCCAGAAAACAGGUGGUGCACGGUUGUCGUCAGCUCGUGUCGUGAGAUGUUGGGUUAAGUCCCGCANNNNNCGCAACCCCUAUCUUAUGUUGCCAGCACGUAAAGGUGGGAACUCAUGAGAGACUGCCGCAGACAAUGCGGAGGAAGGCGGGGAUGACGUCAAAUCAUCAUGCCCCUUAUGACCUGGGCUACACACGUACUACAAUGGGAGUUAAUAGACGGAAGCGAGAUCGCGAGAUGGAGCAAACCCGAGAAACACUCUCUCAGUUCGGAUCGUAGGCUGCAACU